UACGGGGGGGGGCAAGCGUUGUUCGGAAUUACUGGGCGUAAAGGGCUCGUAGGUGGCCAACUAAGUCAUACGUGAAAUCCCUCGGCUUAACCGGGGAACUGCGUCUGAUACUGGAUGGCUUGAGGUUGGGAGAGGGAUGCGGAAUUCCAGGUGUAGCGGUGAAAUGCGUAGAUAUCUGGAGGAACACCGGUGGCGAAGGCGGCAUCCUGGACCAAUUCUGACGCUGAGGCGCGAAAGCCAGGGGAGCAAACGGG
rnacentral:rRNA from 1 species